rnacentral:rRNA from 1 species
UUAGNCGUCAAAUCAUCAUGCCCCUUAUGACCUGGGCUACACACGUGCUACAAUGGGAAGUACAACGAGUUGCGAAGUCGCGAGGCUAAGCUAAUCUCUUAAAGCUUCUCUCAGUUCGGAUUGCAGGCUGCAACUCGCCUGCAUGAAGCCGGAAUCGCUAGUAAUCGCGGAUCAGCACGCCGCGGUGAAUACGUUCCCGGGCCUUGUACACACCGCCCGUCACACCACGAGAGUUUGUAACACCCGAAGUCGGUGAGGUAACCUUUUUGGAGCCAGCCGCCUAAGGUGGGAUAGAUGAUUGGGGUGAAGUCGUAACAAGGUAGCCGUAUCGGAAGGUGCGGUUGGAUCAC